AUACAUACCUGGCUGGGGAGGUACCAUGAUCAAGAAGGUGCUUUUCCCAGGGCGAGGCUUACCCAUUGCACUCCGGAUGUGCUGACCCCUGUGGUUUCCCCACAUGUGGGAAACCUGAUUGCGUAAUUGGUGAAAGUGGGGGGCUGCAUUCGUACUCUCCCCUG